rnacentral:rRNA from 1 species
ACGGGGCGCAGCAGGCGCGAAAACUUUGCAAUGUGCGAAAGCACGACAAGGUUAAUCCGAGUGGUUUCUGCUAAAGGAAUCUUUUGUUUGUCAUAGAAACACUAAUGAAUAAGGGGUGGGCAAGUUCUGGUGUCAGCCGCCGCGGUAAAACCAGCACCUCAAGUGGUCAGGAUGAUUAUUGGGCCUAAAGCAUCCGUAGCCGGUUUUGUAAGUUUUCGGUUAAAUCUAUACGCUCAACGUAUGGGCUUCCGGGAAUACUGCAAGGCUAGGGAGUGGGAGAGGUAGACGGUACUCGGUAGGAAGGGGUAAAAUCCUUUGAUCUAUUGAUGACCACCUGUGGCGAAGGCGGUCUACCAGAACACGUCCGACGGUGAGGGAUGAAAGCUGGGGGCGCAAACCGGAUUAGAUACCCGGGUAGUCCCAGCUGUAAACGAUGCAAACUUGGUGAUGCAUUGGCUUGAUGCCAAUGCAGUGCCGCAGGGAAGCCGUUAAGUUUGCCGCCUGGGAAGUACGUACGCAAGUAUGAAACUUAAAGGAAUUGGCGGGGGAGCAC